AGGGGAACAUCUCUGUGGGAAAGAGAGCAGCCCAAAGGGGCUGCCUCUGUUUUGUGGUUUUUUUUUGGUGCGGCUGUUCCUAAACGGAUCCUUCAAUUAAUGGGUGAGGUUAUGAAUAUAUAUGUGGUCUCAGUGUGUGCCUGUUUGCCAAGGAAGAAGUGGAUGAUGAAUGGAUGGCUGUGAUUAAAGGGAGAAAUAUGGUGUCUUGCGGCUAAGAUUGACUGGAGAGAAGAGCACAUGAUGGGGCUGCUGCUUUCGUCAGAAGGAGGAAAGGAUGGGGCUGAUGGGAUAAGGGGCACGUGGUCUGCAUGUGUUUUGGCAGUAAAAGAAACAAAGAAAUGCACCUGCUCCUCCUUGCAUAAUUAAACCCUAAUGUUUAAUUGUUUUGCUGCCAUGUGUCACCAAAUCAUGGGUUUUGGACUCUUUCAAUUAAGCUAACAUGCAGCUAACGUGCAGCCCAUAAUUAACCUUAAUUAACCAUUGGUUAAUUAAGACUAAUGGUUAAUUAAGGAUGUUUUGACCAAGGGAGUUGACUGCAUCGAUCUUUGUUGAAAACUCCACCUUUGCUAUAAUGAUUUUGCACACUUUGCUUUCAAUUUCAGCGACUCCGCUUAUUUGCUACAAAAUAAAUAAAAAUAGAUUAAUUACAUUAUAAUUAACUUGAGGACUAACUAAUUUCUAGUGUUUUAGAUAUAAUUAUACGCAUAAAAAUGCGUGUAAUCACUUGAGUACCGUGAACACUGCGUACCGCUAGGAGGACUCCGUCUGUUUAUUACGAUUAUCCCCUUGAGACGAGCGGUUGCCCUUGUGGUAGUGCUGAUCCUUUUGCCGCUUGCUCUAGUAAUUGCCUUGUUGCCACACUCUCUUCUUGUUAGUUGGCGGCGUAGCAGAGAUUUUGUUAGCGGUAUCCUGCUGGCUGGAAGAAGGUUGGCUGGGCUUUGUUGGCGUUGGCGGAGGUGGUGGGGUUUCUCCAUAUGUAAUGAAUUCUGCCUGUGCGUGAAGGACGGCCUCGCUCAUGAUGUGGUCAUAUGCGGCAUUAGGAUGAUUGUAGUUGAGAUGAUAAAGAAAUGGUCCAUUGAAAAGCCCUUGCUUAAAGGCUGCCAACGCCAUUGUUUUGUAAAGGUCGCGGCACCGGGAUGCCGCUGCUCUCCACCUAGUGACGAUUGCCUUUAGUGUUUCCUUUGCGCCCUGCUUGACGUUGAAUAGCUGGCUUGUGUUAUGAUGUCUGGCGGCCAAUAGGAUAAAUCGUGAUAAGAAGGCGUUUGAUAGUGCAUGGAAUGAGUCUAUGGAUCCUGGCGGACAUUCGAAGAACCAGCUCAUCGCCUCACUAUCCAAUGUCUCAUUGAACAAGUGGCAGAGGGUGGCGUCAUCGAAUCCCUUAUUGUUGGUGACCUUCUUGAAGGUGUCCAUAUGGACGAAGGGGUCAGUCAGGUCGCUGUAUUGUGGCAUCUUUGGCGUCUUUGCAUGUGCUGGUCUGACGGCCUGCAGGAUUUUGGCGGUGAAUGGCCCUGGCCUGGACACAAAGAGCUGAUUUUGAAUUGGUGUUGGGACACCUACCUCAGCCCGGACUAGCCUUUGCUCCAAUUGCUGUAUCCUUUCCAAAAUUAAGGUAGUUGCGUUGCCAGCUGGCCCGACUUGGAGGUUUCGCUGUGCCAGCUUCCGCCUGGGGGCAGGCGGAUUGCCCUCAGUUCUAGCUCUGGUUGCAGAGCGGUUGGUGCGCGGUUGUGAUUCCACUUAUUGUUCUAUCAUCAAUCGUGGUGAGGGUGGUGGACCCAUUCCCAAUAGCUCGAACUGGUUUAGCGGUAUCUGCAUCUGUAUGAUUGGUGCGGGGAUCAAUCCUCCGGCGUUGGGUCGACUACAUUUGGUACUAAUACUAUGGGAUUGCUCGCUCUGUGCUGGGUUAGCGUUUGCCUCCAGCUCUUUUUUUAGUUCGUCGAACCUUAACAUUAGCGUGACCACUUGCUUUUAGGUUUCGGCCUUCUCCCUGCGCUCCUGCUCGCGCUUCCUGUAUGCCUUGUGGAGGUCCGCUAGUGCCAGCUCAUACAUAGUGGCGAGGUCCUGCACUGGUGAGCGAUGGCUGCCGCCUGGACGAGCUUCCGUUGUAGUCUCGGUUUGCUAGUUCUGAGGGGUAUCCUGGGGCUCUACGCUAGGGUUGAUCAGAGUGUUGAAUAGUGCGCGGUUAACGUUGGCCGUCGGGUUAAUGUUAGUCGUUGGGUUGGUUGGUUGGGGAUUGGCGGACUGGUCCGCUCACUCUUCAGCGUUUCCCUCGCUACGAUUAGUCAUGGUAAUUGCUGUGGAGGGAUGGCCUUUUGCUUAAGGAUUUUUACAGACGGCGCCAAUGUUAAUGUCUAAGAUUCAGCGGUAGCCAAAUCUUGGUUAACACUGGUCCGAUGGACGGACCGCUACUUAUGAUGUUCUUAUGGCUUCCGCUACCUGUGAAAUGAAAUACAAAGGGCGUCAGAGGGAGACCGCGGUUGGCGGUCUUCUCUUCUCCGAUGCCUAAGUUAGUCAAUGUAUUUAUGUUGACAGAAUAACGUUAGGUAAGUAGUAAAUGCGUAAUUAAUAAGGAGAGAGGAGUGGACCUUUUAUAGGUGUGGAAGAGGCUGACCUCUCCCUUGUUUUUGAUGUGGGACUGAUAUGCUUUAGUUCCUAGCUUCUGAUGCUUCAGCGAGGUGAUCUUGGCGCGGCGCGUGGCAGCGCGUCUGCGGUGAUCUGGGGGUGAGCCGGAGCUCAGGUGAUAGCAUGUUUGACUGUGUUUUCGUAGGUCACAACCUUAAUGGUUGUUGGUACCGCUGGCGGUAGUAUGAGCAUGGCUCAUUAUAGCUAAUUGUGCUUGGAAAAUGCUCAUGUAAGUACAAUUCCUGCCUAUGAUACAAAGGAAAGAAAAGCUACAACCAUGAAUGAAGAACAAAAAUGCAGCCAUGGAAUCAUGGAACCAUACAUACUAACACAAACUAGCAAGAACUUUCUAGAAAGUUCUUGCCCAUGAUACAAAGAAAAGAAAAGCUACAUUUUCUUUUAUGGAAAAGAAAAAAAUACUUAAAAAAAUAAGUCUCUUGGGCAACCAAUGUUUACAACAUCAAAUAUUAGGGCUCUAGAAGCCUCACUCGGAAUCCUAUCACUCCAAGACAUUGGAGAAGCAGCGUCAUGUCUUAAGUUUGUAAUGGCAACAGCUACAAAGUUUGCUUCCCUAUGGAGCUUAAAGAAAAUUUGAGAAAAGGAAGUUGAAAUGGUUCUAACAUCUUCAGUCAAUUUGAGCAGCCUCUAAGGUGGAAUCACCUCACCAUUAAUUGCAUCAAUAACCAGUUUCGAGUCUCCUUCAACUUCAACACUUGUGAAACCUUUGUCUUUGGCCGCAAUCAGGCUAUCCCUAAGUGCAGUAGCUUGUGCAAUAGGGAUAGUAGAGUUGCCAACAAACUUGGUUGCAGUAAUGAUUGGUCUUCCAUUAUGGUCUCUAAUAACGAAACAUCUAGCAGCUGAAUCUCUACUUCCAUCAAAAUUGAUUUUAACAAAAGAACUAUCACUACAAUAAAAAUUGAAUCAGACGAUGCCUCUCACACGACGCAUCAUACUUUUCUGUCAUCUGAUUGAUUUUUAUUUUUUCGGAUGUCGUUUUUACAAAAUUUAUUAGUUCAGAAGGCAUUUAAGGACAAAACAGUUGUGUGACGCUUAAAAAAUUGAGCAGCAAGUUUCCCACCAUGUAAGUGGUGCCAAACCCCAAAUUCCCCCCCAACAUGUAUUAAUCAUACAAUGAAAAAUAACAAAAUUGUGGUCUGAUCAAUAUAUUUGGCUGAAGGAGGGAGAUUUCCCACCACUAUUUUGCUUUAUCUCCCCAACGAGGGAAGUCAAAUUGAUAGGAGACAAAUCUCAAAUUUAAAAUGGCUGCAUUCAUACCACAUUUUUAUAAAAUUCUGAUGUGUGAGCCUUUGUCAAAAUUGAUAUAGUCGGGCUUCCUAACACUUAAGCAAAAGAAUAACAAAAAUACCCACAGCUCCUCAAUUUCUUGACAGCGCCUCUCUCUCUCUCUCGACACAGACCCAUAACCAAAACCCACAAUAUCAGUGACUUCUCACUUCAACCAUAUCUCUCUGUUCUACACGGUGUCGAAAUCCAUCAUAUCUAAAACCUAGACCUCUCUCCCUCCAUCUUCUCCCCCUAGACCCCAAAUCCAUCAUUUUGAAACCUUGGACCUCUCUCCUCUCUCCGACAACCAAACCAGUCUCCGCCUCAUAGGAUUGACAGUGAAUUCAUCCCAUCACUCUCUCUUCAAACAGACCGGAGAGAGCCCUAGAUUGGAAUCCUUCUUUUCUCCAAUUCUCCGAGUCCUCUUUAUCUUACAUAAUCCAAGACGGCCUCUCUAUAUAUGAGCAGAAGAACCCGAAGCCCGAGCUCUUUUGGCCCUAUAAACGGGUUAAGAAGAUAGAGUCGGUGCCUAGUAUAGAUGAUGAAGAACCCCAUCACAGCUAAUUCUCUCCCAAAAGUCCUUCACUCUUCACACAAAUCUUGGCGAUAUCAUGUGCGAGGUCCUCUAUGACCAGGGAAAGCAUAUGAAAUUGAAAUUGCAGCUGAAAUUGAGUACCAAAAUAAUUUUGGGAACCCUACUGAAAUAGGACACCAACUUGGUUGUCAAGCUGAAGCAUCAUAGUGGCAUUUCUGAUAAUAAGGACACCCACUUAUUAACUAGUUGUGUUACUUGUGAAUAUUACCAUAUUGUCAAGUUGUUUGAUUCGUUUUGAGUGCUUGCCCUGUUGUUUAUUCCUUGUUUAACUUCAUGUUGCUGUAAUUAUUGGUACAGAACAAAAACAAGAGGUGGUUGAAUUUCUGAGUGGUUGAGCUAUUAAGGUGACAUAGUUUGAUGAGUGAUGAAUUCGGUUACUUCAUAAAAUAAUAGUUUCUACUACUACUACUGCCGUUGCUUUGUGGCCUAAGAGAAAGAGGACCUUCUGUUCUCUUGGGCCAAUUCUCUUUGACACGCUCUUUACAUUUCUCUAGUCAUUAUGAU